AUUGAACGCUGGCGGAAUGCUUUACACAUGCAAGUCGAGCGGCAGCGCGGGGCAACCUGGCGGCGAGCGGCGAACGGGUGAGUAAUACAUCGGAACGUACCCAGUUGUGGGGGAUAGCCCGGCGAAAGCCGGAUUAAUACCGCAUACGACCUGAGGGUGAAAGCGGGGGAUCGCAAGACCUCGCGCAGUUGGAGCGGCCGAUGGCGGAUUAGCUAGUUGGUAGGGUAAAGGCCUACCAAGGCGACGAUCCGUAGCGGGUCUGAGGGGACGAACAGCCACACUGGAACUGAGACACGGUCCAGACUCCGACGGGAGGCAGCAGUGGGGAAUUUUGGACAAUGGGGGCAACCCUGAUACAGCCAUUCCGCGUGAGUGAAGAAGGCCUUCGGGUUGUAAAGCUCUUACGGCAGGAACGAAACGGUCUGUGCUAAUACCACGGGCGAAUGACGGUACCUGAAGAAGAAGCACCGGCUAACUACGUGCCAGCAGCCGCCGUAA
rnacentral:rRNA from 1 species